rnacentral:lncRNA from 1 species
AUGGAGCUGCCCCAUGGAGCUGCCCCACGCAGGAAGCUGGCCUGGUGCCAGGGAAGGUGGCUGGCUGAGUGCCGGGACGGGGGUCAGUCUGUGCCAGGGCUGGGCUCGUUGCCAGGGCUGGUGUCCCUGCCAAACCCAGCUUUGCCCCGGAGGCUCUUCGGGGAGACAGGAGGAGCCCUGGCAGGAAUAAAUCUUGCCCCUCACCUUCUCCUGCUUCACUCAAGACUCACCAGACCACAGAGGAAGAUGAAGGUCGCUGUGCUCAGUGUGGCCCUGCUCAUCGCCGUCCUGUGCCACCCGGCAGAUGCGCAGGUACGGGUGGCUCUUCAGCCCCCUGAAUCAUCUGUGGUGGCCUUGGACCAGGUGGACGCGGCAGAUGUUGAUCUGACAGCAAAUGAAGAUGUUGCCGUGUCACCUGCCUUGAACACGAUCGAAAAGGCCUUGCGCAAGAGACGCCUGGCUGCAGAGCUCCAUGCCUAGGUGAGUAGGAGCCCCACAGGGGCUGCCAGGUGACCCUGUCAGAACCCGGAGUCCUUGGGGAAUUGGGUGUCAGGGUCCGGGUCUGGGUGUGGGUUAAAGGGACUGCCCACGACCUGCUCGGGAGGGACCUGGGAAAUGCCAUCCCCAAACUUUCCCUUGUGCUCCACAGAUCUAUACAGACCAGGAGGGUCUCU